ACAUUUACUGAGUGACAAUCACUAGCAGAGGGCAGAGUCUUCUUCACAAAUGCCACAAUAUGUUUUCCAGGUAAGCUUAACAGCAAAGGUUUUAUUCCAAAAGGCGUAUUAGGCAGAGCUGUUUAUCUAAGCAUAUGACAAAAUUAAAAUCCCAAUCUGUACCAAACGAAGUUUAAAGUAAAUUUUGCAGCAAUUAGUCAUUUGAUUUGCCCUUUUUUACCAUACCUCUAAAAUUCUGGACCAGGAAUGCUCAGUGAGUAGUGGAAAACCAAGCAGGAAAUGUUCAGGAAUUCUCUCGUGUAAAGAACCCCAGAAGUGUUUCCCAUUGGCCUGGGCAGCUCCGGGCAGGAGAGUUAAAUCAUUAAACCCCACAGAGUGCAAGCGUCAGGGGUCAGCUGGGAUCCAAACUGCCCUUUUAAACAAGGGGGAAUUUCAAAGGAAUUCAGAGUCACUGGACACAAAUGGAUUGCUAGAUGAAGGGGAAGAAAGAGCUUUAAAAGCUUCUCAUUAUAUUAGUUAGAAACCUCAGAGAAUUUAAACAAAUGUAUCAAUAUCAGCUUUUGACUUGCUAGGAAAGGGUUUUCAGAAAACUUCAGGACUUUAUCACUGGUCCUAGUUUAUAACUGGAUUUAUAACUCACCUGAAACAAAUGUUUCUUUCACAGGCAGCAUGGUAUGAAGACAACCUUUCCCAUAAAAGGAGACAAAAUAAAAGUACAAACUGAAAGAAAAAUCCCCAGCCCCAGGAAACUAUAAAUAUUUUAUCGGAUAAGAUCUUAUAUAUGAACUUGAAAAACAAUCAAUUCAUUUUGUCACAGACAGCACUUGUGGACUCACGUUCUGCCUCGGGACCAGCGCUACCAGCAGAGAGGCAUUCAGUGGAUUUCCCUGCAUUCACAGGGACCCAGAAGUACUGCUCUACAAUAAUUUUGCAUUUGUGAACGUCAGAUGCCUCCAUGACAGCACUGGCUUGUCUCCACCACUCACUUAUCGGAGAGGCCAAAAGCAAUUUGAGGUCACGCUGGUCCCUAAUAUUGUGAAAAUGGAGUAUCCAAGUGCAACACUACUGUUGAAAAUGCUUCUUUGUAGGGAAAUGCAACUGGGACACAAGAUUAAUGUAUCAAAAUUGCAGAAGGUAUCAAAAAGAAAGCCUUUAAGUACAGGAUUUAUUCUUGAAAGAAAGCAGAACUUUAUUAUCAUUUUGAAAAUAAAGCUUCUCUUUUUCCCUUUUAGUUUUCUCUACCCAUCAAAAAACUCUCCAGUCUGUCAUUAACUCCAAGACAAGCUCAGAUUACAAUCUAGUGCAUCUAACAAUCACUCCUCUGAGCUGGCACUGACAGUGUAAAUAAAGACUACUUUAUGUUAAAUAUGAAAUCAGCAUAAGCCCUGAACUAUGCAAUAAAAGAUUAGGUGGAUCAUCAAUAACAG